rnacentral:rRNA from 1 species
CCUACGGGUGGCAGCAGUGAGGAAUAUUGGUCAAUGGACGAGAGUCUGAACCAGCCAAGUAGCGUGAAGGAUGACUGCCCUAUGGGUUGUAAACUUCUUUUAUAUGGGAAUAAAAUGUUCCACGUGUGGGAUUUUGUAUGUACCAUAUGAAUAAGGAUCGGCUAACUCCGUGCCAGCAGCCGCGGUAAUACGGAGGAUCCGAGUGUUAUCCGGAUUUAUUGGGUUUAAAGGGAGCGUAGGUGGAUUGUUAAGUCAGUUGUGAAAGUGUGCGGCUCAACCGUAAAAUUGCAUUUGAAACUGGCAGUCUUGAGUACAGUAGAGGUGGGCGGAAUUCGUGGUGUAGCGGUGAAAUGCUUAGAUAUCACGAAGAACUCCGAUUGCGAAGGCAGUUCACUGGACUGCAACUGACACUGAGGCUCGAAAGUGUGGGUAUCAAACAGGAUUAGAUACCCGAGUAGUC